GAAUCCUAAGUUGGUUUCAAUAUUAUUAAAAAUACCCGAUAAUAGAACUCCACCGACAAUAGAACCCCAAUAUUUUAUUUAAAAUACCCGUAGAAACUCCAGUGCUCGACAGUAGAAGUAGAACUCCACACGCGACAAUAGAACUCCAAUAAUAAUGAGCUGUGACUGCAACCAAUUUAAAAAUUCAUUACUAGAUGUCGUUAGUGUCGCCCUUGUUGUUUUUACAUCGUGAAACGAGGCAAAAUGGGCGAAACAAUUGGAUGCUAAUUAAUACUUAUAUUCCUGUGAUUUCAUGUAACAAAUUGAACUUCUUAUGAUAUAUGCAUACUGUCAGUCAUUCCAAAAAGUUGACUUAGCACUCAGUCACUUUCCAUCCAAUAGACCCAUCAUGUUGUCAAAAGCCUAAAACUAAUGUGUGAAGCUCUCAUGUCGUGGAAUACAAAUGUAUGGAGACAAGGUAUUUCCCCAUUACUGCUACCACACCAACCACACAAAACCAACCGCCUUACUAAAUUCAGCACCAUUAGCCCAUAUGAUAAAGGAAAUUUACCUUAACCUAAGGAGUAAGGCUGUUGGUUGCUGUGAUUUCCAUUUUUACGGUUUUUUAUCAUGAACACUUCAGUGUGCUUGUUAGUAUAGAGUACAUAAUAGAUCCUUAAGCCAAUGCUGACCUUUGUCCAUGAAGAAAGAGGGACAUCCAACAAAAUUCUUCUCCAUCCUUAUCUUUGCGACGCACGCUCAUCUUUUUAUCCACAAGAUUUAUUUUACUUCACUGGCGACUUGGCGAGUUUCUGGACCACUUCAAGAUUGCUUCCGUCCGCUGUUACACACCUGCAGUCACUCACCACGGGAUUAUGCCUAGAUGAUGCAGAGGAGACGUCGAGAAGAUUGACACCAAAACAUCGCCGGUAUCUCCAAAGUGUCAGCGCGGAUCAUUAUUUGUUGUUGGUAAUAUGUGUUAGUGUUAGUUAACCUGUUGGUUGCCACGCCUUUGUUCUUCCCUGCUCCUUAGAACGGGCUGCGUGCGCUGUUCGGUCUCGUGGUAUGCCGAGGGGUCGGAAAGUCGCACCAGCCCAAAACUUGCUGCAAGGCGCCUGUUAGGCAAUGCACCA